GACAUGUAAUGGAUGACCUAUUUGUUAUUUAUUACCUAUAUGAUCAUAUCAGUAUUGAUGGAAAAGUAAAUGUCCAUCUUGCCGAACACAAACACUCCCGUCAGUGUCCGUCAUUUCGUCUCCUCCAGAAGUGGUGACUGCCCCAUGGCGUUAGCGCAGCUCAACCAGGCCUAAACCACACAGAACGGCAGUGUUUCAACAGAAGACUGGAAACCUGUAGGAGGGGGCGAGGCUUCGUCAUAUAGGAUUAUUUCAUUGGUUUAAAAGACUCAAGACCCCGCCUUGAUACAAAAAAAAAGAGUGAGGACAGAGGAAACAAUAUCAACCAGUGAAACAGUUGGAUAGUCACCUAUUAAUCCGAGUCAUUUGCCGACCMUGUUUUUGGACAGGAGCACAACACAUUCCAUCCAACCCUGUAGGCUACUUUCCCUAAUCAUGUGUCUCUAUAUAGUCGCCGACACCGGAAACAGCUGUGUAUCCUAUUAUURCUAGCACUUGGAUAACUAAGUUUUGGCAUUUUAAAGGUGGAUCAGUGUAAUAMUCUAUAUAAAWAAAAUCUGUAUGAAAAAACACAUUUUUCACAACAACCGGCUGGAUGAUGCUGUGCAUGUGUGCGUAAAGUCUACAUUUUCUUCUGAACUUGGCGAUAAACGUCAGCUAUUCAAGGAAAACGGGCACUACAGAUGUGUAUAGCCAGGACAUCUGCUCUCUCUUUGGCCAUUGUCAAGGAACCAUGCAGUCGGUAGUGGAAGGGACUGCCAGAGGGCCAGACAGCUCACGACAACAAAGAGGCCUUGUCAGAAACCACCAUUAAGCCGGGUCACUUCAGUCACAAGUGCUGCUAGCUGCAGGAAGGACUCGGGAUCAUGCGUUCGCCGGCUCAUAACUCCCUCMGAGUUAUUCUUUCAGCUAGUCCUCUCUAGCCUUGUCAGGUAGAGUCACAAUCACACUAUUCACAGAAGAGAAAGGAGAAAUUCAAGUUGCUUUGGUUCAUCAUCUCUUUUUUUCUUCUUCAGUGGUUUCAGACUGUAGUGGUUAGUGGGUAUAGUGUACUUAUCAGGUUUCAGGUAAGACCCAAGUG
rnacentral:lncRNA from 1 species